rnacentral:misc_RNA from 1 species
GUUUGUGCAUGAUCCAUAGCAUUCAUGCGGGUACAGAUUAUAUUAUGUUGCUUGUUCAUUGAUGCCUACACUGAUUUUGCUGCCUCCAAAUUCCAACGUAAAAUCCAAUUGGGCUUUUUUCAUCAGAGCUAUAUCGAAGCAUGCCUUUUGUUAAUGACCUCAAUUUUUAAAAGUUGACAAUUUUUUACUUAUGUUCUUCCUAUUUAUCCCAUGGUUUUUGAGAUUGCAAGG